rnacentral:rRNA from 1 species
AACCGCCUAGAGGUAAACGGGUGGAUCCGCAAAGUCGGCCCGCGGAAUUCAGCUCGGAAGGCUGGCGCGGGCGGCGGGCUAAGAGAUCUGAUCGGACUCUCCCGUCGCUCGACCGCUGGUCGGCCGUGUGCACUUUCCGCGGGCAGAGCGCCACGACCGGUUCUCGGGCGGUCAGAAGGCGGCUUGGAAGGUAGGUGGGCUCCCCCCCACUGUUAUAGCCUCGCCUGUCCCGACCCGCUCGGGGACCGAGGAGCCGCCGUCGGUCGCGGCCACUCCGCUCUCUUGGGGAGUUCGACUAGCAGAGACUGGGCAACCGUGUCUGCUGACUGCUCUCUUGGAUGGUCGGAGCGGGCCUGGCCGGCACAGGGUCGGUGGCGAAUCGGUCGGCCCUCCACCCGACCCGUCUUGAAACACGGACCAAGGAGUCUAACAUGCGCGCGAGUCGUUGGGUAGUACGAAACCCGAAGGCGAAGUGAAAGCGAGGGCGUGCCUCUGGCGCGCUCAGGUGGGAUCCUGCUCCCUAACCUAAAAGGGGAUGGGAGUGGGCGCACCGCCGGCCCGUCUCGUCCGCGUCGUCGGUGAGGCGGAGCAAGAGCGUGCACGUUGGGACCCGAAAGAUGGUGAACUAUGCCUGAGUAGGAUGAAGCCAGAGGAAACUCUGGUGGAGGUCCGCAGCGAUUCUGACGUGCAAAUCGAUCGUCAAACUUGGGUAUAGGGGCGAAAGACUAAUCGAACCAUCUAGUAGCUGGUUCCCUC